rnacentral:rRNA from 1 species
GACGAACGCUGGCGGCGUGCUUAACACAUGCAAGUCGAACGGAAAGGCCCUGCUUUCGUGGGGUGCUCGAGUGGCGAAAGGGUGAGUAACACGUGAGUAACCUGCCCUUGACUUUGGGAUAACUUCAGGAAACUGGGGCUAAUACCGGCUAGCAGCUCCUGCUGCAUGGUGGGGGUUGGAAAGUUUCGGCGGUUGGGGAUGGACUCGCGGCUUAUCAGCUUGUUGGUGGGGUAGUGGCUUACCAAGGCUUUGACGGGUAGCCGGCCUGAGAGGGUGACCGGCCACAUUGGGACUGAGGUACGGCCCAGACUCCUACGGGAGGCAGCAGGGGGGAAUAUUGCACAAUGGUCGGAAGCCUGAUGCAGCAACGCCGCGUUCGGGAUGACGGCCUUCUGGUUGUAAACCGCUUUCGCCUGUGACGAAGCGUGAGUGACGGUAAUGAGUAAAGAAGCACCGGCUAACUACGUG